rnacentral:rRNA from 1 species
GACGAACGCUGGCGGCGUGCUUAACACAUGCAAGUCGAACGGAAAGGCCCUGCUUUUGUGGGGUGCUCGAGUGGCGAACGGGUGAGUAACACGUGAGUAACCUGCCCUUGACUUUGGGAUAACUUCAGGAAACUGGGGCUAAUACCGGAUAGGAGCUCCUGCUGCAUGGUGGGGGUUGGAAAGUUUCGGCGGUUGGGGAUGGACUCGCGGCUUAUCAGCUUGUUGGUGGGUGGUGGCUUACCAAGGCUUUGACGGGUAGCCGGCCUGAGAGGGUGACCGGCCACAUUGGGACUGAGAUACGGCCCAGACUCCUACGGGAGGCAGCAGUGGGGAAUAUUGCACAAUGGGCGGAAGCCUGAUGCAGCAACGCCGCGUGCGGGAUGACGGCCUUCGGGUUGUAAACCGCUUUCGCCUGUGACGAAGCGUGAGUGACGGUAAUGGGUAAAGAAGCACCGGCUAACUACGUG